GGGUACUUUUCUCCCAUUUUGACGUUCAAAGCAUUUACCCAUUAAAGGGUGAAAAUUUUCUUGGAGUUUCUCACUAAUCAUUUAGACUCAGCAAUGAGAACUGUUUGUGUGGAACUAACAUAAUUGGAAACGGGUUUGGUAGUAAAGAAUGCGCUGCACAAAAUGAAUAAGAACCGAGGACCCCAGGUUGGAAAGAAUACAAAUCAUCUGCUACCAAAUGUGCUGCUGCUA